UGAGUAGCACAGAUAAUCGCGGCUGCAAGUGUCGAAAGACCGCAGGUGAGGAAAGUCCGGGCUUCGCAGGGCAGGAUGCCGGAUAACGUCCGGUGGAGGUGACUCCAAGGCUAGUGCAACAGAAAUAUACCGCCAAAGCAAGAAGGUGAAUUUAUUAAUGUCUUUACAUUACUAACUUUACUGAUGCAUGUACAUUAGCAGUUUUGCUGCUGAUGUUAUAGAAUUAACACUUUAGUGUUAAUUCUAUUGGUAAGGGUGGAAAGGCAGCGUAAGAGACUACCGCAGCACUGGUAACAGUGCUGGCUAUGUAAACCCCAUCCGAAGCAAGACCAAACAUAAAGCGAUACGGCUGCCCGUCGUGCUUUUAGGUAGGUCGCUUGAGCUUACUGGUAACAGUAAGACUAGAUAGAUGAUUAUCAUCAGCCAGAUGAUGGCUGGACAUAACCCGGCUUAUAGUGCUGCUCAUAUA
rfam:Eubacterium sp. CAG:252 genomic scaffold, scf185